GAAUCAGAGCUUCUUCCUGAGUUAAAUAAUAGAUACAUAUUAGAUUAACACAAUUUUAAGUGAGAGUCCUCUUGUGAGAGGGCUCUCAGAGUCCUUCCCGAUAUGCAAAGUGAACUUCCUGAUAGUCUGCUAUUAAGACUUGAAAUCAUGGCACCGGUUACAGAAGAAGAUGAGACGUUCUCAUCAGAUCAACUUCAGUACCAACAUGUUCUCAUUAGCUCUGCUGCUGCUGGCUGCUGGAUCCUGUGUGAAGUGUGAACAGCUGACACAGCCAGGCUCUGUGACUGUGCGUCCAGGGGAUCGUCUGACCAUCACCUGUCGCACAUUUUGGAUCAGACAACCUGCAGGAAAAGAACUGGAGUGCAUUGGUAGUGUACAUAUUGGACACAGCACACAGUACAAAGAUUCACUACAGAACAAGUUUAGUAUCGACAUAGACUCUUCCAACAGGACCGUGACUCUGAUUGGACAGAAUGUGCAGCCUGAAGACUCUGCUGUGUAUUACUGUGCCAGAGAACCACCCACAGUAACACAAAGCAUCAUGAGACCUGAACAAAAACCCCUCAGUGACUGAACACAUGAAGCCACAAGAGGAUGAGCCCUCAGAGCACCAAUGAUUUCAGAUCAGCACAAUAAGUCAAUAAAUAACAUUGAAACAUAAUCUGGAAACAAAGCUGAUUAUUAAUUCCAGUUCUCAUAAAUGUUAUUUCUCACAGAGGAAGGUUACUUCUCCUAACCCUUCUUCUUUUCUUCAACAACCAAAAACAUAAUGCUAUAUAUGUAUUCUGCUAUACAUAACCCUCAAAGUAAACCACAUUGCUGUAUGCUCCCAUGAAAGCAUACUG